rnacentral:rRNA from 1 species
AUAAAAAAUUAUUAAUAGUUUUAUUUCAUAAACCUUUAUAAUUUUGAAAAGUAUUUUCAUUAAAUUGAACUGCAAAGGAAUAUUUUUUUAAACAAAAAGUAAUUUUAUGUACCUUUAGCAUAAGGGAUUUUUAAAAAAAAAUAAAAAUUUAUUUAUUUCGAAAUUAACUGAUCUAUUUUUUAUUAAAGCUUAUGUUUCAAAAUAAGCCUUAAAUAUUUAAUAGAAGUGAAAUUCUUACCAAAGUUAAAGAUAUCUAAUUUUUUUAAAAAAAAUAAAAUUUUUCUUAUAAUACAAAGUAUUUAUUAUAAUUAUAAGUAAUUAUGUAGGGGAUAAGCUUUAUAUACAAUUAUAUACAUUAAAUGUUUUUUCUAAUAAGAAUUAAAAUUUUUCCUAUAUUGUUAUAAACAAUUUCAAUUGUAAAAUAAAUAAAAUAAUUUUUUAUUAAAAUUUAAGAAUUUUUUUAUUUUUUAAAUAUGAAAAUAUUAGUAAAAACUGAAAUUUUUAAUGUAUUAAACUAAGUAAUUUUAUUUUAAAAAUAAUUUUUAGUAAUUCGGCAAAAAAUUUUUUUGACUGUUUAAUAAAAACAAUGUAUUUAGAUUUUUAAUUAAAUAUAAAUCCUGCUCAAUGAAUAGUUAAAUUGCUGUAGUAUUUUGACUAUACAAAGGUAUUGUAAUAAGGCUUUAAUUGAGUGCUAAAAGAAUGGACUUUCAAAAAAAGUCUAUCUUGAAUUUAAUAAUUGAAUUUAUUUUUAUUUGUGAAGAAACAAUAAUUUAAAUUAAGGACAAGAAGACCCUAAGAAUUUUUAAAUUCAAAAUAAAAGGAAUUUUUUUUUGAAUUUUUAAUUGGGGCGAUUAAAAAAUAUUAUUAACUUUUAAUUUCAAAAAAUGAUCCAUUAUUAAUGAUUUAAUGUAAAAAAUACUCUAGGGAUAACAGCGUAAUAAUUUUGGAUAGAUCUUAUAGAAAAAAUAGUUUGCGACCUCGAUGUUGGAUUAGGAUCCUUUUUUAAUGAAGAAGUUAAAAAAAGAAGUUUGUUCAACUUUUGAAAUCCUACAUGAUCUGAGUUUAGACCGAUGUGAAUCAGGUUGGUUUCUAUCUUAAUUUUAAAAAAAAAUUUUAAUUAGUACGAAAGGAAUUUUAAAAUAUAAAUUUUAUAAACAAUACAUAACAGUUUUUGCAUCAAUUUUUGGAAUU